AAGCUGGCUGGCUGAGAAUAAGAAAAUACAGUAUGUGAGCACUUGGAGGAGAAACUGUAGGUUGCAAUAGUGGAAGGGAGGAGGAUUUUGAGCAAAAGAAGAAACUUGUGUUGUUAGGAGCUGCGACCACGCUAUUCAUUGCCUGAGUAGCCAAGCAUGUUAAGGAGAAGAAUCUACUUAUGAAAACUAAAAAAUCACACCGUCUGCUCUUGUACACUUUGAGGCAAAAUUGAGUUUUUCACAAACUUCAUAAGCUUGUUAAGGUUUCUGCUGGAAAGGAAGACAUCACUUUCUAGAAAUAUCUCUAUGAAAUGGCUCGCACAGACUGUGGACCAGGGAAGGAUGAUGCUACAGAUGCACGGUCUCUCCAAGGCACCAACUGAAUCAAGCAUCUGUGUAGAGAGAAGAGAUUCAGCCCCAAGAUGAGAUCCAGGAAUCUAGGAUGUACUCAGGGAGAUGAAGACUACAGCCUACUCAUUCUGUCACUUUAUGCCCCCCUCUUUCUCCUCUCACUCUCUCAGUAUGGUGCAUUAUAGAACAACAAAGAGAGAAAAGGAAAUGAAGACCAUGAGCCUUGCAUAAUAAAUAUUAACUGAGAAGUACCUGGAUCUUAUGAGAAAUAUAUACCUUAUUAAAAAAAGCCAUGCUCUUCAAACUGGCCAGGAUUUAAGUGAUUUCCAGUGAGUACCUUACAAGAAUUCUUCUCAUGUGUGGAGGAGAAGUUCAACACCAUAAAUGGAUGUGGUACAGCGCCCCAGAGGGAAUUACAAUGAAAGUGAAAUCCAAAGAAUUCCAAGAGAACCACACCUGCAGAUCAUGCUCCAUUCAUUUGUGUACUUCCCCCUACUCAGUCUUUAAACCCACAGUGUAGCAAUUUCCAAAGGGAGCUCAAUGCAUAGAUCCCAGGCCCCUUCAUAUGAGCUCAUGGUUGUAUAAACCUCAGUGUCCAUAUCCUACUGAAACUCUGCCCAGAGGAAAGCAUGUGUUUUCUCAGAACUACUUAUUUUGCUCUUAGAUUAUUUUUAAAAUUUUACUCUUAGAUAUUUAUUGACCUUGAUAAUAUACUAAACUGUUUUUGUUUGUUUGUAUGUUUGUAUUUUAUUGUGGUUAUGUUCUCUUUAAGGUCCAUUACAGUGUUGGAAAACAGUGUAUUCUCUAAAUAAAAAAGAGAAAAAUUUAAAUUAAAAGAU
rnacentral:lncRNA from 1 species